CCUACGGGGGGCAGCAGUGGGGAAUAUUGGGCAAUGGAGGCAACUCUGACCCAGCAACGCCGCGUGAAUGAUGAAGGUCUUCGGAUUGUAAAGUUCUGUGAUGGGGGAUGAACACAAUGACGGUACCCCAAUAGCAAGCCACGGCUAACUACGUGCCAGCAGCCGCGGUAAUACGGAGGUGGCAAGCGUUAUCCGGACUGACUGGGCGUAAAGGGUGCGUAGGUGGUUUAGUAAGUUAGCGGUGUAAUUCCGUGGCUCAACCUCGGCGCUACCGCAAAAACUAUUAGACUAGAGUGCAGGAGGGGUAAGUGGAAUUCGUAGUGUAGCGGUGGAAUGCGUAGAUAUUAGGAGGAACAUCAGGGGCGAAGGCGACUUACUGGACUGUAACUGACACUGAGGCACGAAAGCGUGGGGAGCAAACAGGAUUAGAUACCCUGGUAGUC
rnacentral:rRNA from 1 species